rnacentral:piRNA from 1 species
AGCCACCAUGGAAAUACAAUUUGUUCA